UACGAUGGAGGGCUAGCGUUGCUCGGAAUCACUGGGCGUAAAGGGUGCGUAGGCGGGUCUUUAAGUCAGGGGUGAAAUCCUGGAGCUCAACUCCAGAACUGCCUUUGAUACUGAAGAUCUUGAGUUCGGGAGAGGUGAGUGGAACUGCGAGUGUAGAGGUGAAAUUCGUAGAUAUUCGCAAGAACACCAGUGGCGAAGGCGGCUCACUGGCCCGAUACUGACGCUGAGGCACGAAAGCGUGGGGAGCAAACAGG
rnacentral:rRNA from 1 species